rnacentral:rRNA from 1 species
AGUGAACGCUGGCGGUAGGCCUAACACAUGCAAGUCGAACGGCAGCACAGUAAGAGCUUGCUCUUACGGGUGGCGAGUGGCGGACGGGUGAGGAAUACAUCGGAAUCUACUUUUUCGUGGGGGAUAACGUAGGGAAACUUACGCUAAUACCGCAUACGACCUACGGGUGAAAGCAGGGGAUCUUCGGACCUUGCGCGAUUGAAUGAGCCGAUGUCGGAUUAGCUAGUUGGCGGGGUAAAGGCCCACCAAGGCGACGAUCCGUAGCUGGUCUGAGAGGAUGAUCAGCCACACUGGAACUGAGACACGGUACAGACUCCUACAGGAGGCAGCAGUGGGGAAUAUUGGACAAUGGGCGCGAGCCUGAUCCAGCCAUACCGCGUGGGUGAAGAAGGCCUUCGGGUUGUAAAGCCCUUUUGUUGGGAAAGAAAAGCAGCAGGUUAAUACCCCGCUGUUCUGACGGUACCCAAAGGAUAAGCACCGGCUAACUUCGUG